rnacentral:rRNA from 1 species
GAGUUUGAUCGUGGCUCAGGACGAACGCUGGCGGCGUGCCUAACACAUGCAAGUUGAGCGGAGAUAUGGAGAGCUUGCUCUUUAUAUUUAGCAGCGAACGGGUGAGUAACACGUAGAUAAUUUGUCCUAUAGUUGGGGGAGUAGGCCGAUAGUAAAAUUAGGUAUUAAUACCGCAUACAGCUAUUUAACCGCAGUGGGGAGAUAGUAGGAAAGGGGAAACGUUGAUAUAGGAGGAGUCUGCGGCACAUUAGCUAGUAGGUGAGGUAAGAGCUUACCUAGGCGACGAUGUGUAGCCGGUCUGAGAGGAUGAA